CUAACAGUCACUACAACAAAUAUGGGCAUUAGUGACCAAAUCAUAGUGACCAACUUGUAAUUGGUCAUUAAUAUAAUGGAAUUAGUGACCAACAUUAUCUAUUGGUCACUGAACUAGUUAGCACUAAAAUUUUUCAAACUCCCGCCUAAUUAUUUUACUGCAGUGACCAAAUGCAAAAUUAAUAGUGACCACCUUAGGUUUGGUCACUACGUGUUAUUAAAAACUUGCAAAGAAACGCUGUCGUUUUCAGAGUUAGUGACCUACUUUCCAUUUUUCUUUGGUGAAUUUUCAAGCAGCAAGGUUUCGCGGUCGAGAUAUUUUGCGGUCUCCAAAAUGUUAUAGGCGCGCUCCCAUUCCCAAAUUGUGAAUAAAAGUGGAUAUUGUGAUGCCCAUUGUGUUCGACUCGGAGUCUCGGACUCUGACUCAAAUCUUCUCGUCUGCUCCUAUUGCCUUCUUGACCGCUCCUAUUGUUGCUCGGCUACUGUGACUAUAGAUGUAACUUGGCUUUUCAUAUUUCUGGUUCAAGGGUUAGCUGGAGACGAAGAAGAAGGCUCGACAAAUAAACAAUUGGCUUUUCAUAUUUCUGGGUUUGUUGUAAUUACGAAUAUUAUUGGCCUGCCUAUUACGACGGAAUGGAUUCAAGUGAAGAAUGUGGUGUGCUUGCUGAGACCAUGUUUUACAUUCCAGCUAAAAACCGAGCUAAAGAUUGAUUGUGUUCGUCGGGAUAGCUGACACAGAACAUGGCUGAAGGGAGAGAACAGAGCAGUACAAGUUCUCUGAGAAUUGCCUUGCAUUCGUGGAUAGACAAAAGGUGGAGUUGAAUCAGAGAAAGAAGACCUCGAAUUGCCAGGGUUCGAAAUCGGAGUCGGAUUAAUUAGGGUUAGGGAUUUGCGUCGAUUUUCGACAGGCUUUAGGAUUUUGAUUCUAAAUUCAGCUAUGGGUAACUGGGAUUUGAAUUUUGUGGUCUCAGUAUUAGAUUCGAACGUACAUUGGAGCUGUGGAUUUGAGAUUGAAGGCAAAAAUGUCAAAAUUUGGGCCAAGAAGGUAACUAAGUUGCUACUACUUCAAUUAAGAGAUCAAUAGUGGUUUUGGCUGUACCAUGUUCCGCGAUUGCGAAAUGAGGGCUUGGCUUUGGGGUUUUGGUCCUGGCGAGGCUCGUCCACCAUCUAUUCGCAGCAGGCGUGACUAUGGGAGGCUGCAUUGAACGCUGCGUUUUAGGUUCGGGUUCGGGUUCAUGUCUGGGAGAAGGUUCUAGAGAGGGACUUGGUGUUAUUUAAAGGCACCAAGGCGAAACAGACUGAGGAUGUUGCUUAUAGGAUCACUGCUAAGGCCUCGGAUGUUGUGCAUACUAUGUAUGCUGUUCUUAAUUAUAUAUCAAUUAUGGUGGUGAAGAUAGUGGUCAUCAGCCGUAUUUUAUCUGGGAUUUCAGCUGUGAGGAGGUUCAUACCAAAAGCUCACCCAAAGGCUGAAGUUAAACCGUAUAAACUCCUCACUUUUUGUUCAAACCAAUCGACCUGGAGGAGGAAGAGCAAGCUAGUCAUGUUGAAAAGGAGAGGGAGUUGCUCAGACAUUUCCAUGAACAAUUUUUGAGGGCAAAGCUGAAAAACGAAAAGAAAGGUAGAGGCUUUUCUCAAGUGGGUUUUUGAGUGGGAUGUUGAAGAAGGCUUAUACCAGAUCCUUCAAUUCCUUGCAGAACAGCCUUGGUCUAAAGAACAAACUGGAUGUUAGAGAACUUGCAAUUCAUUUUGGGUGUGUUCGAAUCAUUCCUGUUGUGCAAAAGGUUUAUACCUGUUUCCUCCAACUGCUGCUACUGUGAGCUCCGCCCUACUCUUGGGUAUAUGCAGUCUCCCUGAUACCAUAUUUAGAAAUGCUGUGGAUAUGGCGCUGGCAGAUUCGGAGUGUAACAAGCAUGAGAAUUCCGAAUUGAGAUUGUCAUGUUUCUGUAACAAGGCUUUAGUCAAUGUUGGUACUGAUUUGGCAAAACUAGUUACUGGCUGAGUGUCCACUGAGGUAGAUGCACGUCUUGCUUAUGACACGCAUGGAAUUAUAAGGAAGCAUGGCUCUGUGUAUAAGCUUGCGUUUGGACCGAAAGGAUUUGUUGUGGUUAUUGUGAAGGAGGGGAGACAUUUAAGUUCUGCUUCUUGGUUGCUUCUCAGUGACGCAGCGGUGGAUUCUAAGAAUGUUGUAGCUGCCGUAAAUGUAAGUACUUGGAGCACCAAAUGAGAGUAUUUGGCUGCUGCAUAAUUAGCACAACAACUUCCUGUAUUUGGAGCAUUGCAACAUCCUAGAACUCUUUCAAUGAGGAAGCCCCAUUACUGUUCUUUAGGCCAUGGAGAGUGCCAAUGUUAUGAAGUGAAGCCUAAUUUUGAAGACAAAAGCUAAGAAGAGCAGGAGAUCAGUGAAUUAGAACUUGACUUGGAUUUUUUUUCUGUUCUCCUAUUUUGUAGAUACAAUUAGCAUUAUCAGACCCAUUUAGAUUGUUAUGGGAUUAUAACAACUAUCUAUUAUGAUUAA